ACACCUCAACUCUCAUGGCUUGCCAUGAUGAGCUUGGACUUUGGGGGUCUUGUUGGCCUGUGAGCCAGCUCCUCUUAAAUGAAUUAGCUUGCCGGUGUUUGGUGGCAUCAUGGGUGUGAUAAUUAUCUACGCUUGUGGUUUCCCACCAGAUAACCUUCAGCAAUGGAGGUUCGCUGGGGCUUAUAAAUGUCUCUCCUCGGCGAGGACAGAUUUUGACC
rnacentral:misc_RNA from 1 species